rnacentral:lncRNA from 1 species
AUGGAAAAACCACAGAUUAAGCUUGUAUUUUCAAACCUAUUUUACACACAAAAAUACCAAGUAAAACCUUUGCUUAGAAUGGUUGGGAGGAUUGUCAUAAUCAUCCGACAAGCUAAUCUGACAGAUAUAGAAGCAUUUCUUUUGUUUCUAUUCUAUGGGCUUGCAUGUGGACUGACUGAGUAAUACUAAUUAAGUAGUGGUCAAAGAUAGAUUAUUAGGAGACUUGAACACAGUUGAAACACUAACAGUUGGGACGGUACCUGACGUUAACUGCACAUUUCGACCUGAGUCGAUCUCCUUCUAUAAAAGCUGAUCCUUUGGUAUGCAAAAUUGUUCCACCGAAACAUUUUAAAGGAUGGCUCAGUUGGGCGAAAACAUAACCGAGUCGCUGGAUGCUGAACUAGCAGAGAUAGGAAGGAGCAUGAGGUCAUCAUUUCGAACUGCAACGGCAAGUUUGCGAAGAAGCUCCGCUGUUAGUUCCAUGCGGUACGAUGAUGACGAGAAUGAGUUGAUUUGGGCUGCAGUCGAAAGACUACCCACCUUCGAACGAGUGAGAACAUCAGUUUUUGAUCAUUGGGAUGGUGACAAUGGCUCUGGAGAACAAAACAAAAGGAAGGUAAUUGAUGUCACCAAACUUGGAGCACUGGAGAGGCACUUGCUCAUCGAAAAUCUCAUCAAGAAUAUUGAAAGUGAUAACCUUCGCCUGUUACAGAAACAAAGAGAGAGAAUAGACAGGUAAGCUUCACUGCCAAGUUGUGCAUGUGUAUAUCAUUGCAUGCAUAACUGUCAAUUUCAGAAAAACCAAGGUUAGUCAUGAACAAUUAUUUCCAGGGUAAAUGUGAAACUGCCAACGAUAGAGGUGCGAUUCAAAGAUCUGUCUGUAGAGGCAGAAUGCGAAGUGGUUCAAGGGAAGCCCCUGCCAACUUUGUGGAACACCACGAAAAGCAUCUUAUCAGUAAGAAGAUCGACCAAUUUUGUAUGCUUAUCAUCCAUCAUGUAGGUUGUGGUGCAUUUGUUUAUAGUAGGGUACUAUGAUUUCAAUCAUUUAUCAACAUUCAAAAUAUUGAACAUUGUUCGAACAAAGGAGCAUUGAAUCAUAUCAUUAGAGAAGAAAUGUUUCUAAUGCUUAUAAAUGCAAAUUUCUUUGUUCAAUAGGAUCUCAUUAAGGUCCCAGGAGUAAAGACUCACAAAGCUAAGAUUCACAUCCUCAAAGACAUCAGUGGGAUCAUCAAACCUUCCAGGAAAGUAUUAAGAGAAGUAUUAACCAAGAGAAUGCAAAGAAAUUGCUUUAAAUAUUUGCUCUUUUCUCUGAACAUUAAGAAUUCAAUGUUUUCGACAAGUUAAAAAACAAUUGCCCUUUUCUCUAAAUAUUAAGAAUUCAAUUCUCAGGAAGUUAUAGAGAUGCUUUAUCCAUAAACAGUAAUAUUUAAAAAAAAAGCACAUUAUAAUACAAAAGAAAACAAUAGUUGAAUCCCAUCAACGGUAUAAUCUAUAGAAAGAUUACUUACCGAGGUGUGUAUUGUUUACAGGAUGACUCUGGUACUUGGACUUCCAGGAUGUGGAAAAACCACCUUCUUGAAAGCUCUCUCUGGAAAAUUAGACAAAUCUCUCAAGGUAUCUCUUUUUUGGCCUGAUUGGAAAAAACAAUAAUUAGUUACAGUUACAAUAAGCAGUUAUUCUCAUCUGCAAAGAUCAAAGAAGAUAAUGAGAAUAGAAUGGCAUUCAGUUUUCCUUCCAUGAAUUUAACUUCAACAUAUUUAAAAAUACAGUAUCAUAAGAAGCAAAUAAAGCUUUAUUUUUCUUAGAACUUCAUAGUUAAUGUUAAUCCAUUCUAAUCUUUGUUUUUUGUGGAAAAAACAUUUAUCAGUAGCAGACUUUGAUACUGCUCACUAUUAAUUUCUUUAUUUUCAUUUUUAAUUUGCUUUCGCCUGACACAUGACUUUCAUCCUGCUGCAAAAAAUCAUUGAUCAGUUCAUUAUAAGUCAAUAAGUUCGCACUCUUGCAUUAAAUAUGAUUUGCAGAUACUCAGAUAGCAAUAUAACACAAUAGAAUCUGUAAAAAUUAUAAUAAUCUAAUAUAGUGUUUUCUUACAAUUUGGUUCCUUUGAGCACGAAACAGAUCUAAAAUCACCAUCACUCUCUGCAUUUUGUGGUGGAUGAAAAAUACACAUGUUUCUACUUGCAGCUAUAUUAGUAAGCUCGUAAAAUUUGAUUAGCCAACUGAAUUAUUUUGUUUCAUUUAGUAUCACAAGGAUGUCCUUCCCCUCAAAAAAGAAAAAAGAAUAAAAGGAAAAAGAACUUAAGGAUAACCUACUAACAUAAACAACACAACAUCAUAAAAUAUUUGCUUUUUCAAUUUUUAUCUUUUAUUUCAUUUAAGGUACAAAUAUGUAAAUUGAAAUUAGUUUUACCUAAACUUUCUCAGACAGAAAUUAACAUGGUGAUGUUUAUUCCACCAAAAUGCUUUAUUGCUUAGUUGAAAGAAAGCAAAAAAAAUUAAAUGAAUUAACAAGUUAAUGUCACAGGUGACAGGUGAAAUUUCUUACAAUGGCUUCGGAUUGGAAGAAUUUGUGCCUGAGAAGACAUCAGCUUACAUAAGCCAAUAUGACCUACAUAUUCCUGAGAUGACAGUGCGAGAGACAAUGGAUUUUUCAGCAUGCUUUCAAGGUGCUGGGAAUAGAGCAGGUUAGAUCUAAAUGUCUCCUUCAACAACUUCAAAUACAAUACAUCACAGUUCACAAAAUGCUUACUGAGCAUAUAUUCUAAAGAGAUCAUGAAGGAAGUGAGUCAAAGGGAGAAGCAGGCAGGAAUCAUCCCUGAUCCUGAGAUAGACACUUACAUGAAGGUAUAUCAUUAAGUAACAUACAAUUCCAUAUAGUUUAAUUUAACCAAUAUGUUCUCAGAUUUUGGAAACCUGGGAAAACAUACUUUUCAAUAUGAAAUAAUAAAAUCCAAGUAAAUUAUCAUGUUGUCCAGAAAUUUAAGCACAUAUUUUUGUGUACAGGCAAUAUCAUUGGAAGGAUUAGAUCAAAGCCUCCAAACAGAUUACAUCUUGAAGGUAAUGUUUCUCAGGACCAAGUCAAACUUCUACAACAGUGUAUCACCAUUCUAGCAGCAAUCAAUGACUUACUUCCAGAAAUUAAUGCAAUAUAAUCCUAGCAGCAUUUGUAACAUACUUCAUGAAAUUGAUUAUUCAAUUUUGACUUGCUUAUCAGAUAAUGGGACUGGACCUUUGUGCAGACACAAUGGUAGGGGAUGCCAUGAGAAGAGGCAUCUCAGGAGGUGAAAAGAAAAGGCUGACUACAGGUACGUCAAAGCAAAAAUAGAGAGAAUAGUAUAUGCUGCCUCUUGCUAACUCAUAAGGAUAAUGAUUCAUAAAUCAGCGGCAUAUUCCAAUAACACGGCACAAACUUAAUCUACAAAGCUUUUCUUACAAGUUCAAUUUGUUCUAUAGGAGAGAUGAUUGUUGGACCAACAACAACACUUUUCAUGGAUGAAAUAUCAUCUGGCUUAGACAGCUCUACGACCUUUCAAAUAGCUACAUGCCUUCAACAAUUUGCACACAUCACGGAAUCUACUGUCGUGGUUUCACUUCUUCAGCCAGCACCUGAGACCUAUGAACUAUUUGAUGAUAUAAUCUUAAUGGCAGAGGGAAAGAUUGUAUACCAAGGACCUUGCAAUCAUAUUCUGAACUUCUUUGAAGAAUGUGGAUUCAAAUGCCCAGAGAGAAAAGGAGUAGCUGAUUUUCUCCAGGAGGUAAUUGCAAACUCAAAUUCACUAAUAAUAAAUAUUAUUUCAUUCCACAUCCUCUAAAUGGUACACACUAACAUGAUUUGCUAUUAUUCAGGUGCUGUCAAGGAAAGAUCAAGGACAGUAUUGGUUUAAUUCAAAUAAGAUUCAUAGUUAUGUUUCUGUAGAUCAAUUCUCUAAAUCUUUCAAGGUCUAUCAAAUUGGACAGAGUCUGAGCAAGGAAUUAUCAAAGCCAUAUGAUAUGUCUCAAUCCCAUAAAAAUGCUCUAUCUUUUAAUAAGUUUUCAUUGUCAAACUGGGAACUACUUAAAGCUUGCGUAGUGAGGGAAUUGCUCCUCAUGAAAAGGAAUUCAUUUGUGUAUAUACUCAAAAUAACCCAGGUAGCUACUACUACUUGGUAUGUUUUCCAAUAUUGUUCAUGAUCAGCAGCUAAGGUAGUUGAAUCACCUCUACUGCAGAUUGGAAUUGCUGCUAUCAUCACAGCGACUGUAUUUAUACGAACACAUAUGGAAGUUGACAUGAUCCAUUCCAAUUACUAUCUGGGUUCCCUCUUUUUUGCACUUAUCUCACUAAUGGUAAAUGGAUUUCCUGAAAUGGCUAUGACAGUUUCCAGACUUCCAGUCUUCUAUAGGCAACGAGACUGCUACUUUUAUCCAGCAUGGGCAUAUGCAAUUCCAGCUACUAUCCUAAAGAUACCCAUCUCUCUUGUAGAGUCAUUAGUUUGGACAUCAAUUACUUACUAUGCCAUCGGAUAUAGUCCUGAAUCAGUAAGGUAAGAACAACUAAGUUUUCAGAAUUAAAUGUAUUUUUUUCUUCUUUGAGAAAAAAGAAAACUUAACCAAUGUUUCUAUUUACGCUCUUAGGUUCUUCCGCCAAUUCCUCCUACUCUUUUGCGUCCACCAAAUGUCACUAUCACUGUUUCGCUUCGUCGCCUCCUAUUUUCAAACAGCAGUGGCUGCUACGAUCAGUGGUACAAUGUGUUUGAUAGUAAUCCUGUUGUUUGGUGGCUUCGUUAUUCCAAAACGUAAGGCGGCUUCAGCUUUCAGAUCAUCAAGCCAGCAUAGCAUAACAAGAACAAAACUAACAAACCUGAUUUGUGUUGCAGCCUAUUUACCAGGUUGGUUAAGUUGGGCAUUCUGGAUUUCUCCAUUGUCUUAUACACAGAUAGGCUUAGCUGUUAAUGAAUUCCAUGCGCCAAGAUGGCAAAAGGUGAAAUAUGAUACUUCCCACCAACAUAAGACCACAUUACGUCUUAAUGAGUUAUAAAUGACACUUUAAACCAUUUUCUGUCACUGCUAUAAGCCACAGGUCUCAUCAGCAAAUAUGACAAUAGGGCAGCAAGUUUUGACCAGCCGUGGACUAAACUACCAGAGCUACUUCUACUGGGUAUCGAUAGCAACACUAAUUCUAUCGAUUUUUCUACUCAAUGUUGCAUUCACCUUGUCAUUAACUUUCAGAAGACGUGAGUUCUAGUCCAACUAUCCUAUCCAUAAAUGAUUAUUGAUGUAUGUGCUCUCUGUCAUGGUAACCUAGUAGCAAUAACAAGUUUUAUAUUACAGCUGUUGGGGUUUCUCGUGCCAUUAUCUCUCUUAAAAAGCUUUCUCAAAUACAAGGCACGGAAAAUGGAGAGGAUACAAGUCAUCCAAAUAGUGAAUCUCCCGCUGGAUCACCUGUGAGGUCUACAUUGCCAAAAAGAACUGGUGAGACUGUUCUACUGCUGUUAAGUUCAACAAAAUAGUACGCAUAGAAUACGGUAUAACAUAAAAAUUUCAUGGUCAAUGUGGCAGGGAAGAUGGCUAAUCUGUCAGAAAAAAUGGUUUUACCUUUCGUUCCCCUAGCAAUGACAUUUCAGAAUGUGAAUUACUAUGUUGACACUCCUCUGGUAAUCAUGCAAAAAGAUUAAUCAUAUCAGAUAGGCCGAUGGUUAUGAAAGGAAAUAAUAAUUAGUUUGCCUUGUGUCCUAGGAAAUGAGAGAACAAGUCCAUGCAGAAAAAAGGCUACAACUGCUUCACAAUAUCACAGGAGCUUUCCAGCCUGGAAUUCUUUCAGCGCUGAUGGGAGUAAGUGGAGCAGGGAAGACUACCCUCUUGGAUGUUCUUGCUGGAAGAAAAACUGGCGGAACUAUUGAAGGAGACAUAAGAAUUGGAGGGUAUCCUAAGAGACAAGAAACUUUUGCUAGGAUAUCAGGUUACUGUGAACAGUUUGACAUACAUUCUCCACAAAUCACUGUUGAAGAAUCUGUCAUGUAUUCAGCUUGGUUGCGUCUGCCACCUCAAAUUGAUGGAAAAACAAGAUCUGUAAGCUAUAUUCUACACAUUAUUUUGUUCCUUGUUGACAUCAUUAAGGCUUUAGAACUGUCAGAGCAUCAAUUUUAUAUAAAAUGGUUUUUAACAGUGGGAUAUCUAAUUCCUGUUAGAUCCUUUUUAAUGCAUAUGUAUUGAUCUUCAGAAAUUUGUUCAUGAAGUCCUCGAAACAAUUGAGCUUGACAGCAUCAAGGAUUCGUUAGUUGGGAUACAAGGGGUCAGUGGUCUGUCUACUGAGCAACGGAAACGACUAACAAUUGCAGUAGAACUUGUUUCAAAUCCAUCUAUUAUAUUUAUGGAUGAGCCAACCUCGGGUCUAGAUGCUAGAGCAGCUGCUAUUGUCAUGCGUGCAGUGAAAAAUGUUGCUGAAACAGGAAGGACAGUAGUUUGCACUAUCCACCAACCAAGUAUUGAUAUCUUUGAAGCAUUUGAUGAGGUAACUAGAUUAUUAUCACCUUCAUUUUGGAAGAUGUGUAAACAUCUGAAGUAUAUAUAUAUAUAUAUAUAUAUAUAUAUAUAUAUAUAUAUAUCAUAACUAGCACUUGCAAAAAGUAUACCUAGUUUUUUAUUAGAUAUAAGGCCACCUUUGACCGGUGUAAUGCAAUGCUAUAUACAAGAAAGAAAAUAAUCAAAAUACUACAAAAGUUUGCAAAACAAACUUAAAUUUAUGGGCAAGAUGACAUAACAUACAACAACAAAUUGUGAUGUCACAACUAUUUGGCCUCAGCAACAUAAAUCUUUUCCAAUCAAGACACAACAUAAUAAAUCUAAAUACUUGUUCAAAUGUUAUUCUUGACAAUUGGACUGAAGUCACAAAAUCUAGUUAAUACGAAAUCUACUCAUAAAAUUAAAUACAAAUAUAACUUAAUUUACUGUUCACUUUUGCAAAAUUUUCUAUUGCAUUUUAUGAAAUAUCUUUGUUUCAUGUUUCCACAGCUGAUCUUAAUGAGAAGAGGGGGAGAAUUGAUUUACACUGGACCAACAGGAAAGCACUCAAGUAAAGUUAUUGAAUAUUUUGAGGCAAGUCUUUACCAAACUCAAACAUUAUUAUUUGACCCUCUUCUGUUUUUGCAUAAGACCAAUAGCCAGUGGUUCUCUUUUCAAGAACAGAGAAUUCAUUAAACAGGAUCAUGUACAAUAGCACCGAAUCACCAACGAUAAGAGAACUGAAUGCUUGCGGUUAUGGAAAGGGCAUUCUUGAUACAGUAAGUGUACAAAUCAAAUACUGUGAAAAUCACCUACUCUUUCUUUAUAUGCCAGGGCAUUUCUGGAGUACCAAAGAUUAGAGAUAACUACAAUCCAGCGACAUGGAUGUUGGAAGUCACCUCUAUGUCAAUGGAAAAGAAACUAGGAGUAGAUUUUGCAAAGAUCUACACAGAAUCGUCUCUUGACAAGUAUGCAUCAAAGUCUAUCUAAAACUAUGCAGCAAACAUGAGCUGAUGUAACUAUAAUAACACAUGCUGCAAUUGAUGUUAUAGCAGGAAAAUAUAUUGUUAUUAAUGAUCCUCUGCAUGGCAUUAAUAACCAACAGCAUGAAACCAUUAUUCAUAUGCAUAACAUUGUUUACCAGAAUCUUCUAUGGUCGUUUCUCAAUGCAGGGACAGCAAAGAGCUGGUUAAGCGCUUAAGCACACCACCACUGGAUUCAAAUGACCUGAGCUUUUCAACACGCUAUCCACAAAAUUUUUGGGUACAGUUCAAAGCUU